rnacentral:rRNA from 1 species
AGCGAACGCUGGCGGCAGGCUUAACACAUGCAAGUCGAACGCCCCGCAAGGGGAGUGGCAGACGGGUGAGUAACACGUGGGAACGUACCCUUUGGUUCGGAAUAACUUGGGGAAACUCAAGCUAAUACCGGAUAAGCCCUUAUGGGGAAAGGUUUACUGCCGAAGGAUCGGCCCGCGUCUGAUUAGCUAGUUGGUGAGGUAAUGGCUCACCAAGGCGACGAUCAGUAGCUGGUCUGAGAGGAUGAUCAGCCACACUGGGACUGAGACACGGCCCAGACUCCUACGGGAGGCAGCAGUGGGGAAUAUUGGACAAUGGGGGCAACCCUGAUCCAGCCAUGCCGCGUGAGUGAUGAAGGCCUUAGGGUUGUAAGGCUCUUUCACCCGGGACGAUAAUGACUGUACCGGGAGAAUAAGCCCCGGCUAACUUCGUGCCAGCAGCCGCAGUAA